rnacentral:rRNA from 1 species
AGAACGAACGCUGGCGGCAUGCCUAACACAUGCAAGUCGAACGAGACCUUCGGGUCUAGUGGCGCACGGGUGCGUAACGCGUGGGAAUCUGCCCUUAGGUACGGAAUAACAGUGAGAAAUUACUGCUAAUACCGUAUGAUGUCUUCGGACCAAAGAUUUAUCGCCUAGGGAUGAGCCCGCGUUGGAUUAGCUAGUUGGUGGGGUAAAAGGCCUACCAAGGCGACGAUCCAUAGCUGGUCUGAGAGGAUGAUCAGCCACACUGGGACUGAGACACGGCCCAGACUCCUACGGGAGGCAGCAGUGGGGAAUAUUGGACAAUGGGCGAAAGCCUGAUCCAGCAAUGCCGCGUGAGUGAAGAAGGCCUUAGGGUUGUAAAGCUCUUUUAACCCGGGAAGAUAAUGACUGUACCGGGAGAAUAAAGCCCCGGACUAACUCCGUGCCAGCAGCCGC